rnacentral:lncRNA from 1 species
UACUUUGAAAAGAAAAAAGAGAGAUAUUGAUGCAAAAUAUCAUAACGACAUCUGAAUUUAUCUCUCUCAAAAGGGUAAAACACAUGUUGUGCUUUGAUGUUCAAUAGUCCAAUGCCACAUACUUUAGAAGACAUAAGAUCAACAGCUACAUCAAAAGUAAAGUAAAACCAAUAUCAGUCUCUCUAUUUUCUCAUCCAUUGAAAAGUCUUCUCUUUUUCCACCAUAUAAAUCAUCAAAUCAAACAAAACCCCUAAAAUCAAUGUGCAGACUUUCAAUAUCAAUCAUACGAAAUACUGGUCAAUGAUUUAAUCUAUGAGAGAUAUAAGUGAGAGACCAAUCAAUUUCUACAAGCAAUAGAUGAUUAAAGGACGGGAUAUAGAUUGCAAUCAAUUUCUACAAUCAAUAAGAUGGUGAGCACCGUCGGUUGAGAUGAUGAUCACAGCGGAAGAGGGACGAGUUGCUUGGCUUUUCUCUUCCGAUCUUUGGAUGAUGAUGAUCGAGACAUAUCUCAUCUGCUUUCGCCAUCGGAUGAAACAAGAGAGAAGAGAGAGUCGAGCUUCGAAACAAACACAAUAAGACAGUGACACGUAUGGACUCUUACAACCUCUAAAAACUCUUAUUUAAGGUACGUUCCUUAGAUUAAUUGUCAGUUUUGAAUUAUUUUUUGGCUUUUUUUUAAGGAUUCUACGGUUAAGAAACCCUCUAGAAAUAUCAUUGGGGUUGCUCUAAUAGUCCAAUCCAAAGAACUGGGAAGCGGUCAGUGACUCCAGAAGGGCAGAAUAGUUAACCUUUGCGAGGGUCGUCGAAUUUGUGGACAACAAGGACAUUACCCGAAAAAAUGUCCUUACGUGAAGAACUACCGCUUAUAUUCGCGACCGAGUGUCGGGAGGGUAACCAAAUGUUAACCAAAACCAUCGAUGGAUUUUAAGUUUAUUCUCUUGACUACAAUCAUGGUGCCGUGGUAUGUUUUCCUUUAUAGGCAAUGCUUGAACCUCUUUUCCAAAGACGUUUUCAUUGCUAAAAUUAUUAGUGGCUUGUCGGAGAAUCUCUAUUGUAUAUCGAUAACAUUAUGAUCAAUGAAAGCGUUGCUGAUGUCUUCUGUUUCC